rnacentral:rRNA from 1 species
UUGCAGUUAAAAAGCUCGUAGUUGGAUUUCGGAGUGGGCCAGUUGGUCCGCCGCAAGGUGUGUUACUGACUGGUUUGCUCUUCUUCGCAAAGACUGCGUGUGCUCUUCAGUGAGUGUGCGUAGGAUUUACGACGUUUACUUUGAAAAAAUUAGAGUGUUCAAAGCAGGCUAUUGCUUGAAUACAUGAGCAUGGAAUAAUGGAAUAGGACUUUGGUCCCAUUUUGUUGGUUUCUAGGGCCGAAGUAAUGAUUAAGAGGGACAAUUGGGGGCAUCCGUAUUUCGUUGUCAGAGGUGAAAUUCUUGGAUUUACGAAAGACGAACAACUGCGAAAGCACUUGCCAAGAGUGUUUUCAUUAAUCAAGAACGAAAGUUAGAGGGUCGAA